CCUACGGGAGGCAGCAGUGAGGAAUAUUGGUCAAUGGGCGCGAGCCUGAACCAGCCAAGUAGCGUGAAGGAUGACUGCCCUCCUGGUUGUAAACUUCUUUUAUAAAGGAAUAAAGUGAGGCACGUGUGCCUUUUUGUAUGUACUUUAUGAAUAAGGAUCGGCUAACAACGUGCCAGCAGCCGCGGUAAUACGGAGGAUCCGAGCGUUAUCCGGAUUUAUUGGGUUUAAAGGGAGCGUAGAUGGGUUGUUAAGUCAGGUGUGAAAGGUUGCGGCUCAACCGUAAAAUUGCAAUGGAUACUGGCAGCCUUGAGUACAGUUGAGGUAGGUGGAAUUCGUGGUGUAGCGGUGAAAUGCGUAGAUAUCACGAAGAACUCCGAUUGCGAAGGCAGCUUACUAGACUGCCACUGACAUUGAUGCUCGAAAGUGUGGGGAUCAAACAGGAUUAGAUACCCGGGUAGUC
rnacentral:rRNA from 1 species